rnacentral:tRNA from 1 species
GGAUAGAUGUCUGAGCGGUUGAAAGAGUCGGUCUUGAAAACCGAAGUAUUUAUAGAAAUACCGGGGGGUUAGAAUCCCUCUCCAUCCG